GGCAGCUCGCGCAUCACACUCUCUACCAGACAGCUGACGUCCGGUGCUUUUGAGGAGGAUUUGCUCCGCCGGAGGCUCCCUGGUCGCAGUGUUGCAACUAUUGCGGGAUUUGGCCGUGGGAUUGGUGAAUCCCUC